GCAGCUCAAAAUGGGUGGUAAAUUUCAUCUAAAGCUAAAUACUGGCUGGAGACCGAUAGCGCACAAGUAGAGUGAUCGAAAGAUGAAAAGCACUUUGGAAAGAGAGUCAAAAAGUACGUGAAAUUGUUGAAAGGGAAGCGCUUGCAACCAGACCUGUCCGUGGGUGAUCAGCCGCCGUUCUCGGUGGUGCACUCGCCUACGAUCAGGCCAGCAUCGGUUCGGGCGGUCGGACAAAGGCCUUGGGAAUGUAGCUCCUCUCGGGGAGUCUUACAGCCCUCGGUGCAAUGCGGCCAGCCCGGACCGAGGACCGCGCUUCGGCUAGGAUGCUGGCGUAAUGGUUGUAAGCGACCCGUCUUGAAACACGGACCAAGGAGUCUAACAUCUAUGCGAGUGUUUGGGUGUCAAACCCGUACGCGGAAUGAAAGUGAACGGAGGUGAGAACCCUUUAGGGCGCAUCAUCGACCGAUCCAGAUGUCUUCGGAUGGAUUUGAGUAUGAGCAUAGCUGUUGGGACCCGAAAGAUGGUGAACUAUGCCUGAAUAGGGUGAAGCCAGAGGAAACUCUGGUGGAGGCUCGCAGCGGUUCUGACGUGCAAAUCGAUCGUCAAAUUUGGGUAUAGGG
rnacentral:rRNA from 1 species